CCUCCGGGCUCCGCCGCUCCGGCUUCCUCCGCUCCUCGGCACUCCGCAGUCCGCACUCGGCAGCUCGGCUCACUCCAACUCUCCAAGGACCAAAAUCCACCAUCCUCAGUCCUCACUGUCUCACUGAGUGUCUCUGUGUCUGAAUCACUGAUCGGCUGAUCCCAAAUUGGAUUCCCAAUUCCCGGUGUCCGGUUGGUUGUGACUUCGGCGGUUCGGCCUCUUCUCGCCGUUGAGUUCGGCACUAUUCGGCCUCUUCUCGACACAAUUAAGUUCGGCACUACUUGUCGGAUCCGAGUUUGUUUUUCUUGACACAAUCAAGUUUUUUAUAUUUUGAUUUAUUUGUGGUGUUUUUUUAAUUUCUUAGUUUGAUAAUAUUAUUUAUAGAUUAAAAUGUCUAAUAGAAAAUAUGACUGUGGGUAUGAAAAACUCAAAAAAAAAAAGAAAAAUCGAUAAACUCAUUCAAUCUCAAAAAGGAGCUCUAGAUAGAUUUGUUGUUACAAACAAACAAAAUACCACAUCAAAUUCAACUCAGGAAUUAGCAACAGAACAGACACCCGAAAUAGAGUUAAAAAAUGAGAUUGCUAGUGAAACACUAUCUAGUGAAGAGCACUAUGAAGAAUCAGAUGGAGAUAAGAUAAACAAGAAAAAAGAUUGUGGAACUAGUUCUAUUUCUACAAAUUUUUAUGAUCCUGGUCAAUGGAAAAAUA